rnacentral:tRNA from 1 species
AAUAUAGUGCCGGAUUAACGGGUUACAUUGAUGUUGUAAAUUAAGGAUUUUAUUUUUCCUAUAUUA